rnacentral:rRNA from 1 species
CGGACGGGUGAGUAAUGUCUGGGAAACUGCCCGAUAGAGGGGGAUAACUACUGGAAACGGUAGCUAAUACCGCAUAACGUCGCAAGACCAAAGAGGGGGACCUUAGGGCCUCUUGCCAUCGGAUGUGCCCAGAUGGGAUUAGCUAGUAGGUGGGGUAAUGGCUCACCUAGGCGACGAUCCCUAGCUGGUCUGAGAGGAUGACCAGCCACACUGGAACUGAGACACGGUCCAG